rnacentral:rRNA from 1 species
AUUGAACGCUGGCGGCAUGCUUUACUCAUGCAAGUCGAACGGAAAGGCCCUGCUUUUGUGGGGUGCUCGAGUGGCGAACGGGUGAGUAACACGUGAGUAACCUGCCCUUGACUUUGGGAUAACUUCAGGAAACUGGGGCUAAUACCGGAUAGGAGCUCCUGCUGCAUGGUGGGGGUUGGAAAGUUUCGGCGGUUGGGGAUGGACUCGCGGCUUAUCAGCUUGUUGGUGGGGUAGUGGCUUACCAAGGCUUUGACGGGUAGCCGGCCUGAGAGGGUGACCGGCCACAUUGGGACUGAGAUACGGCCCAGACUCCUACGGGAGGCAGCAGUGGGGAAUAUUGCACAAUGGGCGGAAGCCUGAUGCAGCAACGCCGCGUGCGGGAUGACGGCCUUCGGGUUGUAAACCGCUUUCGCCUGUGACGAAGCGUGAGUGACGGUAAUGGGUAAAGAAGCACCGGCUAACUACGUG